rnacentral:rRNA from 1 species
GACGUAGGGAGCGAGCGUUGUCCGGAUUCAUUGGGCGUAAAGAGCGCGCAGGCGGUCGUCCAAGUCGCGUGUGAAAGCCCCCGGCUCAACUGGGGAGGGUCACGCGAUACUGGUCGACUCGAAGGCAGGAGAGGGUAGUGGAAUUCCCGGUGUAGUGGUGAAAUGCGUAGAUAUCGGGAGGAACACCAGUGGCGAAGGCGACUACCUGGCCUGUUCUUGACGCUGAGGCGCGAAAGCUAGGGGAGCAAACGGG